AUGAUUGCCAAACCCUCACCCAAAGAAGAUCCAUGGUUGAUGUUAAAUGGCCCAUCUCGUGCGCUCGUGUUAAUUGACCCGAUUGCAUUUGAAGUUCAGCUAAAAGUAAAGAGCAAAACAGAGCCUGGAAAGGAUGAACUGUUGGCUUUCAAAGUUUUCAGCUACUACAAAGCUUUUCAUUCUGAUGAGGUGGUAUUUACACGCUUCACGUGCAAGCGCUGCACGCUUGAGUUUGCAUAUGCGCCGCUGCUUCCUUCAGUCGAGGCCACUGUCACUGUCCAAGUUAUUGAUGGGUCAUGGGACGACCAUGUUCAAGGAGUUGUUACUUGCCGCACUGCCAGCAUGGAAAAUGGGGAGAUGGUGUUGCUUGCUUCUCGAGAUGGAAAAAUGCCUGUCAACUCGGAUGGUGUGAUUGAGCUUUCAAGGCGCGUUGUUUCUGUAGAAUUAAGGGGACAGCUGUUGGUUUCUGUGCUGGGCCGUGGGACGGGUGAUAAGAAAGGUUUGGUCGCGACAGAUACCGCUCUCUUUACACAGAUGAAUGCCGGCACGAGUCAUGGCGUAUGUGAUCUUGGUUUCUGCAAGGUGCAAGUUACUGUUGCUUGGUCCUUUCUUUCUACCCUGGCAGACAUGCUGUUUUCUGCUUAA
rnacentral:rRNA from 1 species